GGACGACCUCGGGAGCUUAUACAGGUGUUGCAUGGCUGUCGUCAGCUCGUGUCGUGAGAUGUUCGGUUAAGUCCGCUAACGAGCGCAACCCUCGCUGUGUGUUAUAUGUGUCACACGGGACUGCCGGUCUUAAGCCGGAGGAAGGUGGGGAUGAUGUCAAGUCAGCAUGGCCUUUAUAUCCUGGGCUACACACACGCUACAAUGGCCAGCACAGUAGGUUGCUAAGCCGCGAGGUGGAGCCAAUCCAUAAAGCUGGUCUCAGUUCAGAUUGCAGGCUGCAACCCGCCUGCAUGAAGAUGGAGUUGCUAGUAACCGCAGGUCAGCUAUACUGCGGUGAAUACGUUCCCGGGGCUU
rnacentral:rRNA from 1 species